CUUGGAUGAGUUGCGAACGGGUGAGUAACGCGUAGGUAACCUGCCUCAUACAGGGGGAUAACAGUUGGAAACGGCUGCUAAUACCGCAUAAGCGCACAGUACCGCAUGGUACGGUGUGAAAAACUCCGGUGGUAUAAGAUGGACCCGCGUUGGAUUAGCUAGUUGGUGGGGUAACGGCCCACCAAGGCGACGAUCCAUAGCCGGCCUGAGAGGGUGAACGGCCACAUUGGGACUGAGACACGGCCCAGACUCCUACGGGAGGCAGCAUG
rnacentral:rRNA from 1 species